rnacentral:tRNA from 1 species
GGCCUCGUAGCUCAGUUGGCAGAGCAUUGACUUGUAUCCCAAAGGUCGCGGGUUCGAUUCCCACCGUGGUCA